GAUGAACGCUGGCGGCGUGCCUAAUACAUGCAAGUAGAACGCUGACGGAGGAGCUUGCUCAUCUGGAUGAGUUGCGAACGGGUGAGUACCGCGUAGGUAACCUGCCUGGUAGCGGGGGAUAACUAUUGGAAACGAUAGCUAAUACCGCAUGACAACAGUUAUUGCAUGAUAACUGUUUAAAAGGGGCAACUGCUCCACUACCAGAUGGACCUGCGGUGUAUUAGCUAGUUGGGGAGGUAACGGCUCACCAAGGCGACGAUACAUAGCAGAACUGAGAGGGUGAUCGGCCACACUGAGACGGGGACACGGCCCAGACUCCUACGGGAGGCAGCAGUAGGGAAUCGGCGGCAAUGGACGGAAGUCUGACCGAGCAACGCCGCGUGAGUGAAGAAGGUGUUCGUAUCGUAAAGUUCUGUUGUAAGAGAAGAACGAGUGUGAGAGUGGAAAGUUCACACUGUGACGGUAUCUUACCAGAAAGGAACGGCUAACUACGUG
rnacentral:rRNA from 1 species